UACGUAGGGUGCGAGCGUUGUCCGGAAUUACUGGGCGUAAAGGGCGCGUAGGCGGUGUGUCAAGUCAGGCGUGAAAGCCCCGGGCUCAACCUGGGAACCGCGCUUGAGACUGGCACGCUCGAGUUCGGGAGAGGAUGGUGGAAUUCCCAGUGUAGAGGUGAAAUGCGUAGAUAUUGGGAGGAACACCGGUGGCGAAGGCGGCUGCCUGGACCGGUACUGACGCUGAGGCGCGAAAGCUAGGGUAGCAAACAGG
rnacentral:rRNA from 1 species